AGAAUAGCCAAAAAUAUUUUCCUAUCCAUGUUAUUCCCUGUGAAAUAAAUGCUCCAGUUAUUUUGGUUACUACCACUUGCUACAUUAUUCCAGGAGGGUGAGUGCUCUAAAAAAAUGAUGAAUACGAGGAAAUAAAAAGGGGCAAGUGCCCGGAACCACGAAAAGAGAAAAAGAUACGAGGAAAUAAAAUGGGGCAAGUGCCCGAAACCUCGAAGAAAAGAAAAAGUGAGACGAGAGGUAAAAAUGGACAAGUGUCCGAUAGUAGAAUUAGGGGUACAAGAUACCCACCGGAGAGAAAAGAAAAAUAAAAUAUAGAGCAUCUCAUUCUCCUCAAAAAGCUUCAAAGUGCAAGAAAGGUAUGUAUCCCCUUAAAAGAGCAAAAGUAGAAUUAGACUUUCACCAUUGUUAUCACCAUACACCAUUCAUUCGCCACAC
rnacentral:lncRNA from 1 species